rnacentral:rRNA from 1 species
UACGAAGGGAGCGAGCGUUGUUCGGAGUUACUGGGCGUAAAGGGUGCGUAGGCGGUUGUUUAAGUUUGGUGUGAAAUCUCCCGGCUCAACUGGGAGGGUGCGCCGAAUACUGAAUGACUAGAGUGCGGGAGAGGAGAGUGGAAUUCCUGGUGUAGCGGUGAAAUGCGUAGAUAUCAGGAGGAACACCGGUGGUGUAGACGGCUCUCUGGACCGUAACUGACGCUGAGGCACGAAAGCGUGGGUAGCAAACAGG